GACGAACGCUGGCGGCGUGCCUAAUACAUGCAAGUUGAGCGCUGAGGGUUGGUACUUGUGCCAACUGGGUGAGCAGCGCACGGGUGAGUCACGCGUGGAGAAUCUGCCUUUCAGCGGGGGACAACAUUUGGAAACGAAUGCUAAUACCGCAUAAGAACUUUAUACACAAGUGUUAAGGUUGAAAUAUGCAAUUGCAUCACUCACAGAUGGUCCCGCGUUGUAUUAGCUAGUUGGUGAGGUACAGGCUCACCAAGGCGGUGAUACAGAGCCGACCUGAGUGGGUGAUAGGCCACAUUGGGAGGGUGACACGGCCCAAACUCCUACGGGAGGGAGCAGUAGGGAAGCGGCGGCAAUGGAUGAAAGACUGAGCGAGAUACGCGGCGUGAGUGAAGAAGGACGUCGGAUCGUAAAACACUGUUGGUAGAGAAGAACGUGGGUGAGAGUGGAAAGCACAGCAAGUGACGGUAACGAGCCAGAAAGAGACGGCUAACUACGUG
rnacentral:rRNA from 1 species